AUGUAUAUAAAUCUCCCCACUGUAUUUUCCACUGAAUGCAUCCGAUGAAGUGAGCUGUAGCUCACGAAAGCUUAUGCUCAUAUAAAUUUGUUAGACUCUAAGGUGCCACAAGUAUUCCUUUUCUUGUUAUGAAUCUGUAGGCAGACCUAGGUCUUGUCAAUUCUGAAACUUAACUGUUUUAAAAACUGAUUCCAGUUAAUGUGGUUUGCCUGAGUGAGGAGAGGUAAUAUUUUUCAAGUGACUUUGUAGAUAGGCUGGCAUGAAAUGUUGUUUGGAAUUUUUGUAAAUAAUUCUGUUUCUCCAUUGUGCAGUCAUACCCUUUUUAAACUAGGUUCAGGGAAUACAAUUUUGAGCAUAUUUCCUCUCUUCCCUACUUCCUCUUCUUCUCUUUCCCAGGGGAUGUUGGCUUCAAAGUCAAAUUAUUAUAAUCUAACUGCUGAACAAUGGACUGGGUACAUUCAGCAAUUGGAUUUUCUUGCUGUGUCCCAGUGUUUCAUAGUACACUGUGGCCAAUACAUCUGUGUUUUAGGUCUGGUUUACACUACAGAGUUAGGUCGAUACAAGGCAGCUUACAUCAACCUAACUGUAAGCAUCUACACUAAAAUGUCGCUCCCGCUGAUGUAACUAUGCUGUGCUAUGCUGACUUAAUAGCGCUUAGGACGAUGCAGUGUCAGUAUAGGCACUGCAUUACGUACGUUGACUUUAGUGGCCUUUAGGAGGUGUCCCAUAACGCCCGACGGUGACCACUGUGCUCACCAUUUUGAACUCCGCUGGCUGGCUGCUAGGUACACAGAUACAUGCUCCUCUCCUUUUAAAGCCCCUCAAUUUUUUGAAAUUCUGUUUCCUGGGUAUGGAGCGCUCACCUAACAACUACCUAGCUGACCAUGCUGGCUCCAUGCUGCAGAUGCACUGCUGCCUGGUGUACACAGGAAAUGAUGGAUCUCUUGGGUCUGUAGGGAUAAGAGGCUGUGCAGGCACAGCUCUGCUCCAACCAUAGAAACGUCAAUAUCUAUGAGCAGAUUGCUUGAGGUAUGGGGGAGAAGGGCUACAAGAGGGACCUGCAUCACCUGCAGCAAUGCUGUGUGAAAUCUAAGGAGCUGCGGCAGGCGUUACAGAAGGCAAGAGACAGUCGCUUUGGUGCGGAGCCGAAGACAUGCCAUUUUUACAAAGAGCUGCAUGCCAUCCUCUGCAGAGACCCCAUUACGACCCCCAAGAGCCCUAUGGAUACUUCGGGGGAGAUGGAAUCACAGCCCUUGGAGUGAACAGCAAGGAGGAAGUGUUGGGUGAGAAGGGGUAGGAUUAUGGGGGACAGGUGUCGGGGGAUCCAGUGGUGCAGCAAGCCCGGCCUUUUUUUUUGACUCCAGAGCAGUCGAGCCAGUCCCUACAGUCCAGUAUGGUGAACUUGAUGCAGGGGAAGGAACCUCUGGUAAGUAUGCAGUUUGCUUUGAUAUGGCAGGGACACAUCUGUUCAUUUACUCUUUUUUUUUAAUCAUGUUAGAAGAGGUAGUGAAAUAACCCAUAGAGACAGAGUCACUAUUUGCUUCACAUUUUCAUGUAGAAUAAGGCAGAAGGGGCCCUGCAGAACAGUUUGUUUUUGUGUACCAGGAUGUCCCGUGAAUCCUCCAAAGAGAUCUUGAGGAAACUUUCCUGAAGCUGGAAAUGUGGCCUUGCUGUCUUUCCAUCCACAGUAGUGGAGUGGCUCAGCCAGAUGAGGAGGAGAAAGAAGAGGACGCAGGAUGUCACGUUCCAAGAGAUCCUGCAAGCCUCUGGUGCUUCAGAUAUCGAGCACAAGGCUUGGAGAAUCCCCUAGCAGAAUGAAUGGAUAGGGGUAGUACGAAGAAGAGAAAAGCACAGGAAAAGGAGAGAGAUAUCCAGCAGGAGAUGCUAGCACUUCUCAAGUAGCAAACAAACAUGCUGGAGGCUCUUGUUGACCUUCAGGUUCAACAGACCCGUGCUCUCCUCCCUCUGCAACCCAUAGAGAACUGCAUUCUGGGACAUCCCUAUGCACUCCCACAUUCCACAUGGUGUCUUGGGCAGCUUCAGCUACCCCUACCGCUCCACCCUGCGGGAGAAUACAGGCAAUCACAGCCACCAAUACACUGACCUGUGAGAGAGACGGUUUAUGUAUGUGUUGUGAAAUGGAAAUGACUGUUCUUUCCCCUUCAAAGGUUCUUUUCCCUGUAUUUAUAAAGUUUUGUUCAGUUAUAAAUGUCUGUUUGCAUGAGUUUGGAAUAAAAGUCCAUUUAUGGAAACUUAAUUCAACUUUAUUAGUUCACAACAUAUGCUGGCUGGAGCUGAUAUCAUUCACAGAUAAUAGCAAUAGGUGCAUUUGCAGUGUUAUAGUACUACACACGCAACACUCCUUACAAGGUUCAUACCGAGGUGCGCAAAAAAAAAAAAAAAAAGCCAGGCAGGGCACA